rnacentral:rRNA from 1 species
AGACGUCUACAUUAGAUACCCGGUAGUCCCAGCCGUAAACUAUGCGCGUUAGGUGUAUCGGUGACCACGAGUUACCGAGGUGCCGAAGGGAAACCGUGAAACGUGCCGCCUGGGAAGUACGGUCGCAAGGCUGAAACUUAAAGGAAUUGGCGGGGAGCACCACAACGGGUGGAGCCUGCGGUUUAAUUGGACUCAACGCCGGGAAGCUCACCGGAUAAGACAGCGGAAUGAUUGCCGGGCUGAAGACUCUGCAUGACUAGCUG